AGGGUGAAACUGGAUUCCCAGGAUACCCAGGGUCAAAGGGAGAUCCUGGAGACAAAGGGUCAGAAGGAGAUCUUGGACCUAAAGGGAACAGAGGUCGUAGAGGGAAUGCUGGAGAUCCUGGCACUGUUGGUGGAAGAGGAGAUCCAGGAUAUCCAGGGGCAGCUGGACUGAAGGGAAACAGAGGAGGAGGCCGAGAUCAAUGUGCUCUUGUGCAGAA